CCCUUAGACGUUCUGGGCCGCACGCGCGCUACACUGACCAGUGCAACAAGCAUCCGUCCUUGGCCGACAGGCCCGGGCAAUCUUUGAACGCUGGUCGUGAUGGGGAUAGACUUUUGCAAUUUUUGGUCUUCAACGAGGAAUUCCUAGUAAACGCAAGUCAUCAACUUGCAUUGAUUACGUCCCUGCCCUUUGUACACACCGCCCGUCGCACCUACCGAUUGAAUGGUCCGGUGAAGCCUCCGGAUUGGUCGCUUGCGUCCGACUGCUGAAACUUGAUUAAACCAUAUCAUUUAGAGGAAGGUGAANUCGUAACA
rnacentral:rRNA from 1 species